rnacentral:lncRNA from 1 species
UUUUUUUACUGAGGUUGCUGGUAGUGGAUUUGGUUAUGAUGAUGUUCGGGUUGACUGGGGUUUUGGGUGUGAGGUUGACGGUAGGUGCAAGCUGAAGUAGUGAUCUGGACUCUGAUUUAGUGAAUAGUGUGAUGGUAGGGCUGGAGUAGAGGUUGGAGCAGUUGGCGCUGGUGAAGAUGGGAGAGGGAGUUGUCCUUGGCAGUGGUGGUUGGCGACUUUGACUCCAUCAACAGGCUCAAGGUCAUAUGGACCAAAUAUUGUAAAAUAUAUUUUCAGAAUUAUAUAAAUCUAACAUUAAUGGUCAAAGCCAAAAAAAUAUAUAUGUAUUUAGCAUAAAAAAUAAAAGGAUCAUACAUUACCCAAAUAGUGAAAAUGGAUCCAAAUUCA